rnacentral:lncRNA from 1 species
UGGAAACACUUUAUUUGGGAAGCAAAGUGCAAGAUUCAGCAAUAGAAACCACUCAGUGUCCUUGGUGAAUGAUUUGAUCCUGGCCAUCAGAACCUUUACUUCAGCCAGCAAUAAACUCUUAGAAACAGAAGCUUCGAGGUAUGUACUCCUGUUCUGCACGAACAAGUUUUCUGGUUGAACAUGCUGAACCUCUUAAAAAAUUCAGAACAAGUUUUCUCAGAGUUUACAAAGGGAUUUCAAUCACAUGAAGAGAGGAAAACACACUGAGUCGUAACAGUGACAUCAAAAUACUUUUGAAGUUGACUGAAAAUGUGGUUGCUUUUGUUUGAGAAUGGCAAAUUAAAGAAUUGGAUAUUGGGUUCUUAUCUCAGAAGAAACAAAGGAGGAGACCCUGAAAAACUGAACAUGAAGAGGAAGAAGUGGAGUUAUGCAACUCUUCAUAAGAAAAUCUCCAUCUGUUUGGAGAAGUACUGCGUCCUUCCGGAUUAUCUUCUACACUAUGCCUUAUUGUUAUCUGGCUGGUUCCACCACCGGUCAGAAGAAUGAAAAUUGCAGAUACCUAUUCUGUGUGUUUCUCUCCAGAAUGGUGGAUGUUAGAGACCCUACUAAGGAUUUGUGGACUCACUAACGUAGUCUCUAAAAGGUGCUACAUCUGUACAAAUGAAUCCAAUGUUUCCAUGCACUAAUAAUCACUAUGUACAUAACACUGAAAUGACUCUGACUCAUUCUUCCUUAAUCAUGUAAGAAAGGUGCCUUAAAUUAAAAUCAUAAUGGAAUCAAGGUAAGAGUUGGCUAACCAAAUGCCAUAUUUUGUCCCCUUGAUUGGCAUAUUAUGUGAAAUAUCUUGGCGUGUUUAAUAAAACUUCUCUACCUUGCUGAACUAAUUUUUAAGCUUUGUGGGUUUUUCUCUAACAAGGAAAUAGGCGUAGAAAUGAAAGGUAAGGCUACUGAAGACAACUGGU